CAUCCAUCUAUUGGGAUUACAGUUUAAUAUGACAAUUGUCUUGCACCUGAGACAUACCGGUACAUGGGAAUGAGAGAAUGCUGGCAUUGUGGCACAAGAGAAAUCUACCUACCUAUCUACCCACCUAAUUUACAUAGCCAUUCAUCUCACGAAACAAAUGACUCUGAGCAGGUUUUAUCUAAAUGAGGCAGAAGCAACCAGUGAUCUCCUUAGUGUGUGUCUUUCUUUUUCAUGUGGUUUGCUUAGGAACCAUUUGUGGUUGCUAAAUGAAGCUUAAAGGCCAUGUAUCUAGCCUUAAACAGCAUGUCCCAAUUUAGUGUCUUUCUGGAUUGAGUUCAACUCACAAAAAUAAAAUGAUCCAAAGAUAAAACUA